CACGUAGGGGUGCGAGCGUUUGUCCGGAAUUAUUGGGCGUAAAAGAGCUCGUAGGCGGUGUGUCGCGUCGGCCGUGAAAACCUGCAGCUUAACUGUGGGCUUGCGGUCGAUACGGGCAUCACUGGAGUUCGGCAGGGGGAGACUGGAAUUCCUGGUGUAGCGGUGAAAUGCGCAGAUAUCAGGAGGAACACCGGUGGCGAAGGCGGGUCUC
rnacentral:rRNA from 1 species